AGAGUUUGAUCAUGGCUCAGGAUGAACGCUAGCGGCAGGCUUAAUACAUGCAAGUCGAGGGAGAAAUAGGGUGCUUGCACCUUAUAGAAACCGGCGAACGGGUGAGGAACACGUACGCAAUCUACCUUAUACUGGAGAAUAGCCCCGGGAAACUGGGAUUAAUACUCCAUAGUAUUACGGAAUCGCAUGAUUCUGUAAUUAAAGCUCCGGCGGUAUAAGAUGAGCGUGCGGCCCAUUAGAUAGUUGGUGAGGUAACGGCUCACCAAGUCAACGAUGGGUAGCGGGCGUGAGAGCGCGAUCCGCCACACUGGCACUGAGACACGGGCCAGACUCCUACGGGAGGCAGCAGUAGGGAAUAUUGGACAAUGGAGGCAACUCUGAUCCAGCCAUGCCGCGUGAAGGAUGAAUGCCCUCUGGGUUGUAAACUUCUUUUAUUAGGGAAGAAACCUUUCGAUUCAUCGAAAGCUGACGGUACCUAACGAAUAAGCACCGGCUAACUCCGUGCCAGCAGCCGCGGUAAUACGGAGGGUGCAAGCGUUAUCCGGAUUUACUGGGUUUAAAGGGUGCGCAGGCGGGAAAUUAAGUCAGCGGUGAAAGCCCCGAGCUCAACUCGGGAAUUGCCAUUGAUACUGGUUUUCUUGAAUACGGUCGAGGUUGGCGGAAUACGACAUGUAGUGGUGAAAUGCAUAGAUAUGUCGUA
rnacentral:rRNA from 1 species